AGAGUUUGAUCCUGGCUCAGGACGAACGCUGGCGGCGUGCCUAAUACAUGCAAGUCGAACGCUUCUUUUUCCACCGGAGCUUGCUCCACCGGAAAAAGAGGAGUGGCGAACGGGUGAGUAACACGUGGGUAACCUGCCCAUCAGAAGGGGAUAACACUUGGAAACAGGUGCUAAUACCGUAUAACAAUCAAAACCGCAUGGUUUUGAUUUGAAAGGCGCUUUCGGGUGUCGCUGAUGGAUGGACCCGCGGUGCAUUAGCUAGUUGGUGAGGUAACGGCUCACCAAGGCCACGAUGCAUAGCCGACCUGAGAGGGUGAUCGGCCACAUUGGGACUGAGACACGGCCCAAACUCCUACGGGAGGCAGCAGUAGGGAAUCUUCGGCAAUGGACGAAAGUCUGACCGAGCAACGCCGCGUGAGUGAAGAAGGUUUUCGGAUCGUAAAACUCUGUUGUUAGAGAAGAACAAGGAUGAGAGUAACUGUUCAUCCCUUGACGGUAUCUAACCAGAAAGCCACGGCUAACUACGUGCCAGCAGCCGCGGUAAUACGUAGGUGGCAAGCGUUGUCCGGAUUUAUUGGGCGUAAAGCGAGCGCAGGCGGUUUCUUAAGUCUGAUGUGAAAGCCCCCGGCUCAACCGGGGAGGGUCAUUGGAAACUGGGAGACUUGAGUGCAGAAGAGGAGAGUGGAAUUCCAUGUGUAGCGGUGAAAUGCGUAGAUAUAUGGAGGAACACCAGUGGCGAAGGCGGCUCUCUGGUCUGUAACUGACGCUGAGGCUCGAAAGCGUGGGGAGCAAACAGGAUUAGAUACCCUGGUAGUCCACGCCGUAAACGAUGAGUGCUAAGUGUUGGAGGGUUUCCGCCCUUCAGUGCUGCAGCUAACGCAUUAAGCACUCCGCCUGGGGAGUACGACCGCAAGGUUGAAACUCAAAGGAAUUGACGGGGGCCCGCACAAGCGGUGGAGCAUGUGGUUUAAUUCGAAGCAACG
rnacentral:rRNA from 1 species